rnacentral:lncRNA from 1 species
UCCAUGUGAUGGCGUAUAAUCCAAGCAUCAGAUUUCAUCGGGUGUUGGGAAAAUAGAAUCUGCUUGUGUUCCUCGAUAUACAGAGCCACAAAGGAUGAUUGUUUCAGAACCAUGAAGUGUACUUUAUGUUACAAAUCACUAUCAUUGCUCAAACCUGAUUUCCUUCCAAGGGUGCCCUUUCCCCGUAGCCUCCCCUCGUGGUGUGAUACCGGAACCCCAAUCGAAUUAAUUGAGUCAAUAAAAUCAACACAAAACUCAAUGACCUCCUCUGUUCCAUAUCCCUUGGCAAUGUUCCUUCU